CAAAGUUAUGGCUCUACCUUUCUCCCAAAACUUUUCAAAACAUUUGCCUGGCUCUGAGAUGAUUAUUUAUCAUUUAUUCUAUCGCUUAUUCAUGCAUGACCAUGGCAUCCGUCCCAGAGGAGUGUUACCAUUAAAUAUGUAACGUCUCGGCUGUGUUUCUAUGGAAACAGUAUCACGCUCUUGCUCUUGUUGAUCAACAUGGAGUUUAUGGGAAGCAGUUAUGAUGGAGAUUACAAUAAUGGCAGGAUGGAGGGGUCGGGUGAAUACACACUUCCCACUCACACCAGAUAUGUCGGAGAGAUGAAAGAUGGCACGUUCCAUGGAAAAGGAGUGCUGCAUUUCCCCAAUGGAAGCAAAUAUGAGGGAACUUGGGAGAAAGGAAUUUCCAAAGAGGGAAAGUACACAUUUUCUGAUGGCCUGGAGUAUAAAGAGAUGGACUGGGAUUACUGUGAUGGCAAAGACAGGCGUUUCUACUCUGAGAGGUGUAAUGGCCUCAAACCAGCAGGAGAAUCCCAGUUAACUGAUGGGGACCCCCCGCGGACCAUCCCUGAAGGUUGCUAUGACAGUGGCGAUGGCUUUUAUGAUCCCAGCACUAGAGUCGUCAAAGACUAUGAUGGCAGUUUUCUCAGGAACGCAGACGAGCAGGAACACGAGUGGAUUGUGAGGACCUGCAGGAAGAGCUGGGAUGAGUUCACUGGCCACUGUCCAAGAGGCAACACACUGGAGGAGAAACAUCACAUUUGGUUGACCAAAGAGGGUUCCAGUGUUGAGAGGACUAGAAGAGACUAAUGCUCUGCAGAUGGCCAGGCACGGCCCUUCUUUGGCCUGAAUCUGAGCCCCCCUCCACCUCUACACCUCUGUCAUUGGGAGCCCUUGUGUAAACAAAGUGUCACACACAACCUCCUCCAACUGCAAAGAAACACAGGGAUAUCAAGAUAGCCAUGUUUCCCCUGUAUACGCUACUGAAGAAUGAUGACACCGGCCCCGAAAGUCCCACAGUGGGGCCCUCAGGGCGUUCAUCCACUGGAAAUGACAUCAUAGCCCACCAGGGAGCCCCACGGGGACCAGGAAACUUGGACCGGCACUUUGUGUAUCAUAACUCGCCGGGGAAAAUUCCUGCAGCCGCAAAGCGUUUCCCUCAGCGCCCGAGAAAUUCACCUUUGGCUGGAAAAGAGAAGCUUGUGGAAGAACAAAUUCGGUAGAUUAAAUUUGAUAUACUCUCGGAGUGUUAUAAUCUGGGGAAAUCUCCCUCUCCGAGACUGCUGAGACAGACAGAGUUUGCUACGGCGAGCAUUGCUUUUACUUGCUCAUGGUGGUUUUUAAAAACCUGAAUCGAGAGUUUUUAAUUUUGGUAUGUAACCAAAACUCGUCUCAUUCCAUUGCUUGUGCAACAGGCAUAAAUAAUACCAAAAUGAUCUUAAAACUUUUCGAGGUGUGCUUUACCAUUCUUUAGCACUUGCAUCAUCAAAACCUCAUGGACAAUAAAUUGUCUGCGAAACAUGCUGGUCUUUUGUCAGCCAAAUCUAGAAAGCAUAAUAGAGACUUAAAUGAAUUUUAAGAUAUUUUUAAGAAUGGGUCUGACCAAACAGUUUCUGGUAGCCAUUGACUUCCACUGUAUUUUUUCAUAUUAAAGUCAGUGGCUACCAGGGACUGUUUGGUUAUCAACAUUCUUCAAAAUAUCCUCUUUCAUUUUCAGUAAUAAAAGAAAUGUAUGCAGGUCCAGUUAUCGCAGUUGAAAGUGCUUCUAUACUAUAUAGUAUGCGAUAAAACAGUACAUGAAAGAAGUAGUACAUCCAAAUUUAAAGUAUGUGAUUUGUUUGCUUUUUUGCAUUAAUUUGUGUACUACACUGUUAUUAAUCCAAAACUGUAUGAAUUUCUUUCUUCUGUUGAACACUAAAGAAGAUAUUUAGAAGAAUGUGUCUAAGCAAACACUUGCUGGUACCUAUUGACACAUUAUUUUUUUUCAUACUGUGAAAGUCAAUGGCUACCAUCAACAGUUUGGCUAUCAAGAUUCUUCAGGAUUUUGUGUUCAACAGAAGAAAGAAAUUCAUACAGUUCCCUUCAGCCCAUUCGAAAAUUCAUACUUCCAUAUUAUAUAUGUGAAAAACAGUAGUAGUUCGUCCAAAUUUAUAGUAUUCAAAAAUAGGCGAAAAGUAACUGGAUGAAGUAGUUCUUCCACCAAGUUUGUGGAUUGCACAUUUGAUGACUCUUAACUAUCCCAUGAGGCCUCAGGACAGGAUUUGUGGAUGGCAGUGACCACAUGACAACACGUCAGAUGUAGUACAUCUGAACUGUAUUCAUGCUACACAUUUAUUCUAUAUUAAACAUACUUUUUAUAGUCACAAAGUAUAAAACAGAAUGUAGUACCUACUAGACAAUAUGCGAUUUCGGACAACUUAACAACACCUUAGCACCCAUCCACAGAAAAAAAUAUUAUCCUAUUUAUUUUUUAUUCUCAAACAUACCCAUAUGUUGAAGCAAUUUUCCUGUUAACCAGAAAAAAAACAUCUAAUUUUGUCAUCGUAAUUUCAGUCACUCAUAUAAUCUCCCUCAGUCUCCAGCAAGUUAUGAGUUACACGCGCUCUGUUUACUUCUGUUUGCAUUUAAACACAAGAAGUCCUGUACACGCAUAUGGACAUUACAGUACGUCAUCUCCUCC